rnacentral:rRNA from 1 species
GUGGCGAACGGGUGAGUAAUAUAUCGGAACGUGCCCAGUAGUGGGGGAUAGCCCGGCGAAAGCCGGAUUAAUACCGCAUACGACCUACGGGUGAAAGCGGGGGAUCGCAAGACCUCGCGCUAUUGGAGCGGCCGAUAUCAGAUUAGGUAGUUGGUGGGGUAAAAGCCUACCAAGCCGACGAUCUGUAGCUGGUCUGAGAGGACGACCAGCCACACUGGGACUGAGACACGGCCCAGACUCCUACGGUAGGCAGCAGUGGGGAAUUUUGGACAAUGGGCGCAAGCCUGAUCCAGCCAUGCCGCGUGCGGGAAGAAGGCCUUCGGGUUGUAAACCGCUUUUGUCAGGGAAGAAAAGUUCUGGGCUAAUACCCCGGGACGAUGACGGUACCUGAAGAAUAAGCACCGGCUAACUACGUGCCAGCAGCCGCGGUAAUACGUAGGGUGCAAGCGUUAAUCGGAAUUACUGGGCGUGAAGCGUGCGCAGGCGGUCUUGCAAGACAGAUGUGAAAUCCCCGGGCUUAACCUGGGAACUGCAUUUGUGACUGCAAGGCUGGAGUACGGUAGAGGGGGAUGGAAUUCCGCGUGUAGCAGUGAAAUGCGUAGAUAUGCGGAGGAACACCGAUGGCGAAGGCAAUCCCCUGGACCUGUACUGACGCUCAUGCACGAAAGCGUGGGGAGCAAACAGGAUUAGAUACCCUGGUAGUCCACGCCCUAAACGAUGUCAACUGGUUGUUGGGAGGGUUUCUUCUCAGUAACGUAGCUAACGCGUGAAGUUGACCGCCUGGGGAGUACGGCCGCAAGGUUGAAACUCAAAGGGAUUGACGGGGACCCGCACAAGCGGUGGAUGAUGUGGUUUAAUUCGACGCAACGCGAAAAACCUUACCUACCCUUGACAUGUCUGGAAUUUUGCAGAGAUGCGAAAGUGCUCGAAAGAGAACCAGAACACAGGUGCUGCAUGGCCGUCGUCAGCUCGUGUCGUGAGAUGUUGGGUUAAGUCCCGCAACGAGCGCAACCCUUGUCAUUAGUUGCUACGUAAGGGCACUCUAAUGAGACUGCCGGUGACAAACCGGAGGAAGGUGGGGAUGACGUCAGGUCAUCAUGGCCCUUAUGGGUAGGGCUACACACGUCAUACAAUGGCCGGUACAGAGGGCUGCCAACCCGCGAGGGGGAGCCAAUCCCAGAAAACCGGUCGUAGUCCGGAUCGCAGUCUGCAACUCGACUGCGUGAAGUCGGAAUCGCUAGUAAUCGCGGAUCAGCUUGCCGCGGUGAAUACGUUCCCGGGUCUUGUACACACCGCCCGUCACACCAUGGGAGCGGGUUCUGCCAGAAGUAGUUAGCCUAACCGCAAGGG